AGUGAACGCUGGCGGUAGGCCUAACACAUGCAAGUCGAACGGCAGCACAGUAAGAGCUUGCUCUUACGGGUGGCGAGUGGCGGACGGGUGAGGAAUACAUCGGAAUCUACUUUUUCGUGGGGGAUAACGUAGGGAAACUUACGCUAAUACCGCAUACGACCUACGGGUGAAAGCAGGGGAUCUUCGGACCUUGCGCGAUUGAAUGAGCCGAUGUCGGAUUAGCUAGUUGGCGGGGUAAAGGCCCACCAAGGCGACGAUCCGUAGCUGGUCUGAGAGGAUGAUCAGCGACACUGGGACUGAGACACGGUCCAGACUCCUACGGGAGGCAGCAGUGGGGAAUAUUGGACAAUGGGCGCAAGCCUGAUCCAGCCAUACCGCGUGGGUGAAGAAGGCCUUCGGGUUGUAAAGCCCUUUUGUUGGGAAAGAAAAGCAGCAGGUUAAUACCCCGCUGUGCUGACGGUACCCAAAGAAUAAGCACCGGCUAACUUCGUG
rnacentral:rRNA from 1 species